GACGAACGCUGGCGGUGUGCUUAACACAUGCAAGUCGAACGGUAAGGCCCUUUCGGGGGUACACGAGUGGCGAACGGGUGAGUAACACGUGAGUAACCUGCCCUCAUCUCUGGGAUAACAGUCGGAAACGGUUGCUAAUACUGGAUAUGAGCUUGCAAGGCAUCUUGUGGGUUGGAAAGAUUUUUUGGUUGGGGAUGGACUCGCGGCCUAUCAGCUUGUUGGUGAGGUAGUGGCUCACCAAGGCUUCGACGGGUAGCCGGCCUGAGAGGGCGACCGGCCACAUUGGGACUGAGAUACGGCCCAGACUCCUACGGGGAGGGCAGCAGUGGGGGAAAUAUUGUACAAAUGGGACGGGAAAGUUCUGAUGCAAGCAAACCGCC
rnacentral:rRNA from 2 species